rnacentral:rRNA from 1 species
CUACGGGAGGCUCCAGUGGGGAAUAUUGCACAAUGGGGGAAACCCUGAUGCAGCAACGCCGCGUGGAGGAUGACGCAUUUCGGUGUGUAAACUCCUUUUAUAUAGGAAGAUAAUGACGGUACUAUAUGAAUAAGCACCGGCUAACUCCGUGCCAGCAGCCGCGGUAAUACGGAGGGUGCAAGCGUUACUCGGAAUCACUGGGCGUAAAGCGCGCGCAGGCGGCCUUUUAAGUUGGAUGUGAAAGCCUACGGCUCAACCGUAGAACUGCAUCCAAAACUACUAGGCUAGAGUCUGGGAGGGGAAGAUGGAAUUAGUUGUGUAGGGGUAAAAUCCGUAGAGAUAACUAGGAAUACCAAAAGCGAAGACAAUCUUCUGGAACAGUACUGACGCUGAGGCGCGAAAGCGUGGGGAGCAAACAGGAUUAGAUACCCUUGUAGUC